GUUUGAUCAUGGCUCAGGAUGAACGCUAGCUACAGGCUUAACACAUGCAAGUCGAGGGGCAGCAUCAUCAAAGCUUGCUUUGAUGGAUGGCGACCGGCGCACGGGUGAGUAACGCGUAUCCAACCUGCCGACAACACUGGGAUAGCCUUUCGAAAGAAAGAUUAAUACCGGAUGGCAUAGUUUUCCCGCAUGGGAUAAUUAUUAAAGAAUUUCGGUUGUCGAUGGGGAUGCGUUCCAUUAGGCAGUUGGCGGGGUAACGGCCCACCAAACCUACGAUGGAUAGGGGUUCUGAGAGGAAGGUCCCCCACAUUGGAACUGAGACACGGUCCAAACUCCUACGGGAGGCAGCAGUGAGGAAUAUUGGUCAAUGGACGAGAGUCUGAACCAGCCAAGUAGCGUGAAGGAUGACUGCCCUAUGGGUUGUAAACUUCUUUUAUACGGGAAUAAAGUUAGCCACGUGUGGUUUUUUGUAUGUACCGUAUGAAUAAGGAUCGGCUAACUCCGUGCCAGCAGCCGCGGUAAUACGGAGGAUCCGAGCGUUAUCCGGAUUUAUUGGGUUUAAAGGGAGCGUAGGCGGGUUGUUAAGUACAGUUGUGAAAGUUUGCGGCUCAACCGUAAAAUUGCAGUUGAUACUGG
rnacentral:rRNA from 1 species